AAAAAUGUUUGUAUUUUCUUGUUUUUCUGGGUGCAUAAUGAUGUGUGUGGACAAGAAAACAGGUGUUUUGAUUGCACUAAUUAUAUUUCAAAUUGUAAACCAGUGGAAAAUCUUGUUUUCAUCAAAAAUAAAACAGCAGAUGGGAGCAAAGUACAUCCAAUCGGGGACAGUAAGCCGGACGAUACUCUGGAUGAAUGCAUAGAUCCUAAAAUGAAAAUAACUGAUACUCUUUCAAAUGUUGUGUGCUUCCGGGCCAAAGAUAAAACAUGUGGCAUAGUAGGACCGUCCGUCAUUGUGUAUAAAAGUUUGAUCUGUUUUGAAUGUGAAUUAGCCUGCAAUUGCGAUAUAGAUUCAGGUGGUACCAGAGAGCAGGGAAUAUAUUUCAGAGUGUUUGCAAUUCUGAGUAUUGCUAG